rnacentral:lncRNA from 1 species
AUGUUUCAAGGGGGCGGAAAAGGUUCAGUUGACCUGUCUCGUACAGUAGAUGCACGAAGACACACACUCGAGAAAAAGUUCCCCCUCAGCUUGGACACAGUGCACGCGAACGUCUGCUCCUGUGAAUCAUUUGAGCCCUGGCAGCGGUACAAAAAAGAAAAGAAAAAAACAACCUCAAAGAGAGUCUUGUUGGCAGGAGGCUGCAGCUCUUCACCUCUCAGUAAAGGAAAACGAUUACUGCAUUUGACAUCCACACUGGAAUUCACCCGCAUGCCUGCCUGCGCACGCACACGCACGCACGCGCACGCACGCACGCACGCACGCACAACUAUAUUUCCAUUACCCCUCAAUUUCGUCCAAUAG